CCUACGGGAGGCAGCAGUGAGGAAUAUUGGUCAAUGGGCUAGAGCCUAAACCAGCCAAGCCGCGUGAGGGAAGACGGCCCUAUGGGUUGUAAACCUCUUUUGUCAGAGAACAAAGCCCGGGACGUGUCCCGGACUGCGGGUAACCGAAGGAAAAGCAUCGGCCAACUCCGUGCCAGCAGCCGCGGUAAUACGGAGGAUUCGAGCGUUAUCCGGAUUUAUUGGGUUAAAAGGGUGCGUAGGCGGUCCGUUAAGUCAGCGGUAAAAUUGCGGGGCUCAACCCCGGCGCGCCGUUGAAACUGGCAGUCUUGAGUUGGCGAGAAGUACGCGGAAUGCGCGGUGUAGCGGUGAAAUGCAUAGAUAUCGCGCAGAACUCCGAUUGCGAAGGCAGCGUACCGGCGCCAGACUGACGCUGAGGCACGAAAGCGUGGGGAUCGAACAGGAUUAGAUACCCUAGUAGUC
rnacentral:rRNA from 1 species